AAACUGAUCGGUUUAAACCGAAUCAAACUAAAAUAAAACGAUUCUAUUCGGUUUACUUUUUCAUUCAUUUUGAUUCGGUUCGGUUUUUAAAAUAUAGUAAUUCGAUUAAUUUGGUUUUGAUGAUUCGAUUUGAACCAAAUACUCAGCCUUAAAUGUAAGCUUAUAGGUUCUAAAUAGGGAAUUGCAAUUUUCGGUUGCAUCAUAUAGGGUUUGUUAGACACUGUUGUUAGAGUAGCUAUUGAGAAAAACUUUUUUUAAAAUAUAUCGGUUAGAGAAUA
rnacentral:misc_RNA from 1 species